rnacentral:rRNA from 1 species
GAGAGAGACAUGCGCGCAUAUCAAUAAGCGGAGGAAAAGAAACUAACAAGGAUUCCCUUAGUAACGGCGAGUGAAGCGGGAAGAGCUCAAAUUUGAAAUCUUCAAGGUUUUACCUUGACGAAUUGUAGUUUAAAGAAGUGUUUUCUGCUGAAGUUUUGGUAAAAGUUCUUUGGAAUAGGACAUCAUAGAGGGUGAGAAUCCCGUAUUUGACCAUUAUUUUCAGCUUUGUGAUACACUUUCAAAGAGUCGGAUUGUUUGGGAAUGCAGUCCAAAAUGGGUGGUAAACUUCAUCUAAAGCUAAAUAUUGGCGAGAGACCGAUAGCGAACAAGUACCGUGAGGGAAAGAUGAAAAGAACUUUGAAAAGAGAGUUAAACAGUACGUGAAAUUGUCAAAAGGGAAGCGUUUGACACCAGUGUUGUUUUCUCGAAAAUCAAUUAAAAAUGGCUCGAUUUUGUAUUGCUUGAGACCUUAAAAGCUCACUGUACAUUUUUCGUGUCUUUUUUAAUGCACUUUUCGUUUAACAAGUCAACAUCAGUUUCUUUGUUGUAAAAGGGUCAUUGGAAGGUGCCUUUCUUUUCGGAGAAAGUGUUUAUAGCCUUUGGCCUCUGCAAUCGAAGAGACUGAGGUCUGCAGCGUAGACUUUUCGGGGUUAGAUACAUUUGUGCUAAGUUAUAGCUUUUUAUAGACAACUUGUUGACUAUAAUUAGUCUUGUAGCUUACUCGCUUAUGCUAUUUUACCUACGCUUAGGAUGUUGAGUCGUAGAGCACGCAG